UUACAAGUAAAAGUCCAAGAUUUCACACGUGUGCAAUUCACAGCGGAUGCUGCUCUUCUUGAUUUCUCGAUGGAUACAAACUUGACAACUCUAAAAAUGGUGCUUGGUUGUUUGGACAAGGGCGAUGGUAAAGAGGAGUGUAUUGUUCUGAAGUCAGUCAGUGGAGUGCAACUGCUACGUUGGUGGCAUCCGUCUUAUCCUCAUCGUGAUUGAAGUGACACUGAUCUUAUAAAAACUUUGGACUACCCAGAUUGACAAUUUUACCAAGAUCAAUAAACAAAUUUGGCUAACGUUGUUUACAUCGUUGCUACUGUUGCUACACAAUUCACAACUUUAGAUAACUAACAUGCCUAGUUUCCACUGUUCUAGUUUACAGAAGCGUAGAAUAGAACAAAAGUAACUAAGAAAAAAACACCAAGACUAUUAAAAUAAACCCGAAAAAACCAAAACUAUUGCAAUAACGUAUUAUUAGAAUAUGAAUGCCCUUGCACAAAAUAUUGAUAAGAUGCAUAUAUUAUAAAUAUUGAUUUAAUUAAGAAAUUAAAAUAUCUUUGUAAAGCGCACGAUUUUCUGCUCUUGGAAAUUUAAAGCUGCUUCUUAAAUUCUAAACGAGAAUAACUUUAGGAUUUAUUACAUGAAUCUCUCAAACAUUCUUUUAAACAGUCUCUUAAGCACAAAAUGUACUUAUAUGUCAAGCUAGCUUGUGCGUACAGCAGAGUGCUGAGGCAUCCAAAUUUUAACAAUACGUUAUUUCAAUAGUUUGGCGUUUUUUUGGACCUCCUGUAUAAUAAUUCUUUUCUCUUGUGGAUAAUUCUAGGACUUAGUUUCCUUUUUUCUAUUGUUAGUUACUAUUGUUCUAGUUUGCAGAAUUAAGGUAUGUGAGUUGUGUAAAGUCAUGCAUGUGAAUUGAAUAUAAACAAACGUUAGCCAAAAUUGUCAACAUCAUACCUACAUUGAAGAUCUUGUCAUUGUAUAUCAAGCAAGUUUGCCGUGAUCUUGCCAAGAUCUUGCAAUGUUCUUAUCAGGAUCAUGAUAAGAUCUACAAUCCUGAUCGAAAAUAUUGGCACACUUUGCAUAACCAGUGCUGAAUUUGACACCCACCGCAAUAGGAAAAAUAUCUAUACCCCCUACACACUCCACAGUCCACACCCCACACCCACACCCCAUACAAUGUUGUGUGUACAUUGUAGAUUGACAAGGAUCUACACAACAUUGUACGGGUGUGUGAACGUGAAAUUGUGAAUACAACCCACCGGGCACACGACGUUGUUUCAACGUUGAAAUUUGGUAGAAAAAAGGUUGCGACGUCAACAACCUAAUAUCUACGUUGCUCUGACGUUGUUUUACAAACAUUGGUUCAACAGCAGCCAACAGACGUUGAAUUAACGUUCAUUCAUGGUUAAAUGUACGACGUCGAUUUGUGAACCAAUCUCAACGUUGUUUUAACGUGGAUUCAACGUUGAAUUAUGGUUGACGAGAUUGGCAACCUAAUUUCAACGUUGUUUCAACGUCGAAACAGUAACGUCGAUCCAAUUUGCAUAGUCAACCCUUUUUUAACGUCUAUCCAACGUCUGGAAGGUCAUUUCCAACGUUGAUUCAACGUUGGAUAAACGUCAUUUUGCCCGCUGGGAAUGGGCAUAUAUGUACAUGUAAACAAGACAUCUGCUGCAAGAAGUUGCUGUUUUUAAAAAAAUGUACCAAGGAUUUUUUACCAGCUAGGAUUGAGGUUUGCCACAAAAUCAUUAUACAAUAUUAGUAAGAUUUAGAAUUUAACUUUACCCAUCCAGCUUAAAGAUAAAUUAUAUUGAGCUUAGUAUCAUUAUAGGAUCUUCUUGGCCCUUCAUGGAAAAAUGUUCAGAAUUUUUUUUUUUUAAUUCUCCUUCUUUAAUGUCCUAAGAUCUUGGACAGAGGACAGGAAGAGUUUUAAUAAGAUCGUGCCAAAUCAUACGAAAAUUAUUUCUUCGCGCCAUCUUAGUAGGAUCUUCUAAGAUUAUGUGUAAGAUGUUCCUGCCAACCUGUGAAAUGCUAUCUAUUGAAGACAUUUAGAUCCUCAAAAGAUGGAAAUUUGAAAUUCCAUGAUCAAACCACUAGAAUAAUAUUUAAAUGUCCACCUAUAGGCUGCUCAUUUUUAAGGAAACCACAAGAUUAAGACUAUACGAGACAUAUUUAUUUAUAUGUAAAAUUCAAACAAAUAAAUUAUUCUGCGCAUUUUAAACGCAAUACCAAAAUAAAUACCUUUUGGAUCAUAAUAAUUAUAUUCACUGGUAACAGGAGGGCAUAAAUCAGUAAUAUUAGGGACCGG
rnacentral:lncRNA from 1 species